rnacentral:rRNA from 1 species
UAGGGAAUCUUCGGCAAUGGGGGCAACCCUGACCGAGCAACGCCGCGUGAGUGAAGAAGGUUUUCGGAUCGUAAAGCUCUGUUGUAAGAGAAGAACGUGUGUGAGAGUGGAAAGUUCACACAGUGACGGUAACUUACCAGAAAGGGACGGCUAACUACGUGCCAGCAGCCGCGGUAAUACGUAGGUCCCGAGCGUUGUCCGGUUUUAUUGGGCGUAAAGCGAGUGCAGGCGGUUUAAUAAGUCUGAAGUGAAAGGCAGUGGCUUAACCAUUGUUCGCUUUGGAAACUGUUAAACUUGAGUGCAGAAGGGGGGAGUGGAAUUCCAUGUGUAGCUGUGAAAUGCGUAGAUAUAUGGAGGAACACCGGUGGCGAAAGAGGCUAUCUGGUCUGUAACUGACGCUGAGGCUCGAAAGCGUGGGGGGCAAACAGG